rnacentral:rRNA from 1 species
CCUACGGGAGGCAGCAGUCGAGAAUCAUUCACAAUGGGGGAAACCCUGAUGGUGCGACGCCGCGUGGGGGAAUGAAGGUCUUCGGAUUGUAAACCCCUGUCAUGUGGGAGCAAAUUAAAAAGAUAGUACCACAAGGGGAAGAGACGGCUAACUCUGUGCCAGCAGCCGCGGUAAUACAGAGGUCUCAAGCGUUGUUCGGAAUCACUGGGCGGAAAGCGUGCGUAGGCUGUUUCGUAAGUCGUGUGUGAAAGGCGCGGGCUCAACCCGCGGACGGCACAUGAUACUGCGAGACUCGAGUAAUGGAGGGGGAACCGGAAUUCUCGGUGUAGCAGUGAAAUGCGUAGAUAUCGAGAGGAACACUCGUGGCGAAGGCGGGUUCCUGGACAUUAACUGACGCUGAGGCACGAAGGCCAGGGGAGCGAAAGGGAUUAGAUACCCGUGUAGUC